UAACGGUCCUAAGGUAGCGAAAUUCCUUGUCGGGUAAGUUCCGACCUGCACGAAUCGUGUAACGACUGAACGACUGUCUCGGAGAGGAUCUCGGCGAAACUGUAACGGCGGUGAAGAUGCCGCCUGCCCGCAGUAGGACGGUAAGACCCUAUGCACCUUUACUGUAAGCUCGUAUUGUGUCUUGAUUAUUCAUGCGUAGCGUAGGUGGGAGACUUCGAAGCGGGGGCCUCGGUUCCCGUGGAGUCGCAAUGUGAAACACCACUCUUGGCUAAUUAGGAUUCUAACUUCACUCUGUCAUCCAGAUGAGGGACAGUGCGUGCGGGUCAGUUUGACUGGGGCGGUUUCCUCCGAAAGAGUAACGGAGGAGCGCUAAGCUUGGCUCAGCAUGGUUGGCAACUAUGCGUCGAGCGUAUGGGUAGAAGCCAGGUUAACUGUGAGACCUACAAGUCGAGCAGGUGCGAAAGCAGGCCCAAAUGAUCCGACGGUUUAAUGUGGAAUUGCCGUCGCUCAACGGACAAAAGGUACGCUAGGGAUAACAGGCUGAUCGAGUCCAAGAGUUCAUAUCGACGACUCGGUUUGGCACCUCGAUGUCGACUCGUCGCAUCCUGGGGCUGGAGAAGGUCCCAAGGGUCCGGCUGUUCGCCGGUUAAAGCGGCACGCGAGUUGGGUUCAGAACGUCGUGAGACAGUUCGGUCCUUAUCCACUGUGGGCGCAGGAAACUUGAGGGGUUCAAAUCUUAGUACGAGAGGACCAGAUUUGACGCACUUCUGGUGUGGCAAUUGUCGCGUCAGCGGCAGCGUUGCGUAGCCAUGUGCGGAAGAGAUAAGCGCUGAAUGCAUCUAAGUGCCAAGCUCAUCCCAAGAUAAUGUUUCCCGAACCGCAAGGUUCCUAAAGACCCCCGGCAGACUACCGGGUUGAUAGGUUAGGCGUGUAAGCGGAGUGAUCCGUUCAGCGGACUAAUACUAAUCGGUCGUGCGGCUUGAUCGCUUCU
rnacentral:rRNA from 1 species